rnacentral:rRNA from 1 species
GAGGAAUAUUGGUCAAUGGACGCAAGUCUGAACCAGCCAUGCCGCGUGCAGGAUGACGGCUCUAUGAGUUGUAAACUGCUUUUGUACGAGGGUAAACGCAGAUACGUGUAUCUGUCUGAAAGUAUCGUACGAAUAAGGAUCGGCUAACUCCGUGCCAGCAGCCGCGGUAAUACGGAGGAUUCAAGCGUUAUCCGGAUUUAUUGGGUUUAAAGGGUGCGUAGGCGGUUUGAUAAGUUAGAGGUGAAAUUUCGGGGCUCAACCCUGAACGUGCCUCUAAUACUGUUGAGCUAGAGAGUAGUUGCGGUAGGCGGAAUGUAUGGUGUAGCGGUGAAAUGCUUAGAGAUCAUACAGAACACCGAUUGCGAAGGCAGCUUACCAAACUAUAUCUGACGUUGAGGCACGAAAGCGUGGGGAGCAAACAGGAUUAGAUACCCUGGUAGUCCACGCAGUAAACGAUGAUAACUCGUUGUCGGCGAUACACAGUCGGUGACUAAGCGAAAGCGAUAAGUUAUCCACCUGGGGAGUACGUUCGCAAGAAUGAAACUCAAAGGAAUUGACGGGGGCCCGCACAAGCGGAGGAACAUGUGGUUUAAUUCGAUGAUACGCGAGGAACCUUACCCGGGCUUGAAAGUUAGCGACGAUUCUUGAAAGAGGAUUUCCCUUCGGGGCGCGAAACUAGGUGCUGCAUGGUUGUCGUCAGCUCGUGCCGUGAGGUGUCGGGUUAAGUCCCAUAACGAGCGCAACCCCUACCGUUAGUUGCCAUCAGGUGAAGCUGGGCACUCUGGCGGGACUGCCGGUGUAAGCCGAGAGGAAGGUGGGGAUGACGUCAAAUCAGCACGGCCCUUACGUCCGGGGCUACACACGUGUUACAAUGGUAGGUACAGAGGGCAGCUACCCAGCGAUGGGAUGCGAAUCUCGAAAGCCUAUCUCAGUUCGGAUUGGAGGCUGAAACCCGCCUCCAUGAAGUUGGAUUCGCUAGUAAUCGCGCAUCAGCCAUGGCGCGGUGAAUACGUUCCCG